GAUGAACGCUGGCGGCGUGCUUAACACAUGCAAGUCGAACGGUGAAGGCGGAGCUUGCUCUGCUGGAUCAGUGGCGAACGGGUGAGUAACACGUGAGCAAUCUGCCCCUGACUCUGGGAUAAGCGCUGGAAACGGCGUCUAAUACUGGAUACGAGCUGCGCAUGCAUCUUCAGCAGCUGGAAAGAAUUUCGGUCAGGGAUGAGCUCGCGGCCUAUCAGCUUGUUGGUGAGGUAAUGGCUCACCAAGGCGUCGACGGGUAGCCGGCCUGAGAGGGUGACCGGCCACACUGGGACUGGGACACGGCCCAGACUCCUACGGGAGGCAGCAGUGGGGAAUAUUGCACAAUGGGCGAAAGCCUGAUGCAGCAACGCCGCGUGAGGGACGACGGCCUUCGGGUUGUAAACCUCUUUUAGCAGGGAAGAAGCGAAAGUGACGGUACCUGCAGAAAAAGCGCCGGCUAACUACGU
rnacentral:rRNA from 1 species